AUUGAACGCUGGCGGCAGGCCUAACACAUGCAAGUCGAGCGGAGCGGCGGACGGGUGAGUAAUGCCUAGGAAUCUGCCUGGUAGUGGGGGAUAACGUCCGGAAACGGGCGCUAAUACCGCAUACUAUCAGAUGAGCCUAGGUCGGAUUAGCUAGUUGGUGGGGUAACGGCCUACCAAGGCGGCGAACCGUAACUGGUCUGAGAGGAUGAUAAGUCACACUGGAACGGAGACACGGUCCAGAAUCUUACGGGAGACAGCAGUGGGGAAUAUUGCACAAUGGGCGCAAGCCUGAUGCAGCCAUGCCGCGUGUAUGAGGAAGGCCUUCGGGUUGUAAAGUACUUUCAGCGGGGGGGCGUUACCCGCAGAAUAAGCACCGGCUAACUCCGUGCCAGCAGCCGCGGUAAUUC
rnacentral:rRNA from 1 species